rnacentral:rRNA from 1 species
GACGACCGUGCGAACGUUGUUCGGAAUCACUGGGCUUAAAGGGCGCGUAGGCGGCUUGCCAAGUCAGGGGUGAAAUCCUGCAAGCUUCAACUGUAGAAGGGCCUUUGAUACUGUCGUGCUAGAGUGCGGAAGGGGCGUACUGGAAUUCUCGGUGUAGCGGUGAAAUGCGUAGAUAUCGAGAGGAACACCUGCGGCGAAGGCGGGUAGCUGGGCCGACACUGACGCUGAUGCGCGAAAGCCAGGGGAGGCGAACGGG